rnacentral:rRNA from 1 species
GUACAGGAGAAAGGGAAGGGGAUAGCCCAACAGCCAAAGCAAAAGUGGACAAGACCAGCUUCAGGAAUAUUGAAGAUCAACACUGAUGCAGCUUUUCACAGGAUUUCCAAUGAUGGAGGUUGGGGAUUUAUCAUUAGAAAUGAUCAAGGUAUAGCUGUAGCUGCAGGUGCUGGCAAACUGGAACAUAUGGCUGAUGCUUUUCAAUCUGAAGCAGUGGCUAUGUUGUAUGCAAUAAACAUUGCUAGCCAAAUGGGCUGUGAUAGAGUGAUGUUUGAAACAGAUUCUACACAGUUAAGAAGGGCUGUGUCUACUGAGGAAUAUGACCUGUCUGCACUAGGGGCCAUUUUCAGAGAGAUUAAAUUUCAGUUACAUGUAGGUUUUUCAGAUGUAUGUGUUGUAAACUGUUCACGAACAUGUAACCGAGUGGCGCAUAGGCUAGCAGCGUUUGGAGCAACAUUAAACUCUGGUGCAUGUAUUACUUGGCUGGGACAAUUCCCAGAGUUUGUUCAGAACCUUGUAGCUGGGGACUUGCCCAGCAAU